rnacentral:rRNA from 1 species
UCAAAACGACUCUCGGCAACGGAUAUCUCGGCUCUCGCAUCGAUGAAGAACGUAGCGAAAUGCGAUACUUGGUGUGAAUUGCAGAAUCCCGUGAACCAUCGAGUCUUUGAACGCAAGUUGCGCCCGAAGCCUUCUGGCCGAGGGCACGUCUGCCUGGGCGUCAC